CCCUUAGAGUUUGAUCCUGGCUCAGAAUCAACGCUGGCGGCGUGCCUCAGACAUGCAAGUCGAACGCGAAAGGCCCCUUCGGGGGCCGAGUAGAGUGGCGCACGGGUGAGUAACACGUAGGUAAUCUACCUCUGGGUGGGGAAUAACAGCCGGAAACGGCUGCUAAUACCGCAUAACGCAGCGGCACCACAUGGUGACAGUUGUUAAAGCGGGGGAUCGUAAGACCUCGCGCCUGGAGAGGAGCCUGCGGCGGAUUAGCUAGUUGGUGAGGUAACGGCUCACCAAGGCUGCGAUCCGUAGCCGGCCCGAGAGGGCGGUCGGCCACACUGGCACUGACAUACGGGCCAGACUCCUACGGGAGGCAGCAGUCGGGAAUUUUGGGCAAUGGGCGAAAGCCUGACCCAGCAACGCCGCGUGGAGGAUGAAGUUUCUCGGAAUGUAAACUCCGUAAGAAUGGGAAGAAUAAAAAGGGGCCAAUACCCCCUUUGAUGACGGUACCAUUCGUAAGCUCCGGCUAACUCCGUGCCAGCAGCCGCGGUAAUACGGGGGGAGCAAGCGUUGUUCGGAUUUACUGGGCGUAAAGGGCGCGUAGGCGGCGCAACAAGUCACUUGUGAAAUCUCCGGGCUUAACCCGGAGCGGCCAAGUGAUACUGUCGUGCUAGAGUGCGGAAGGGGCUACUGGAAUUCUCGGUGUAGCGGUGAAAUGCGUAGAUAUCGAGAGGAACACCUGUGGCG
rnacentral:rRNA from 1 species